UCAAAAGGGCUGGACAAUAUUCAUAAAUCAGUCUCCAUAUUAUUAUGGUAAGGAUGCCAUUGACACAAAACUUACAAACUAAGAUGACUAAAUCGCCAUAAGGGUUUUAAAGAAUCCAAAGUUAACGUACUGCCAGAUUCAAGCAAAGACACACCACUCUGCCUAACCUCUUGUCAUAACCAGUUUGGGGAAAACAAAAUUCUCAUAGGAAAAAACCAGAGAUCUACUUCUGAUGCUAUGUAGUUCCAAAAUUAUCACCAAUUAUAUGACUCCUCAACAGAAAAGUUAUACUUUGCGGGCUGCAUAUUUCCAAAAAUAUCAUCCAAUAAUAUGAACUUCUGAAGAGAAAACCUGCAUUCUUGCAGAACAACAGCACAGACACUUCAUCAAGAAAUUCAUAUCAAUGGAAAUUCUUUAAAAAAAUUGUAGUCCAUAGCAUCCAAGGAAAGGCAUAAUACAUGCAUAGGUACUUGACAAAAUUCAUAUCAAAAGAAAUUAAGAAGCGCGUCCCCGGAACUCCGGCUUCAAAGGGUCCGGGGAGGUUCAUCUACUGUAGUGGUUUCACUCAAAGAAAUUGAAGCCUGCAAACAGAGUAUGAGCAACCUCAACCACUAUCCACGUCCCCUUCAUUUCUUUACUAAUUCCUUCUUAUAACUUGGAAAACAAAAUCAGUCAAUGUGAUAUAUAAGGAAUCAAUAACAACAAUCAAUCAACAGCAAAUUAGAACUAUGUUGAAAUUCCCUGAAAUGAAGUAAAAGAUAUAGGAGAUGACAUCAAAAGUUAAAAAUAAAAAAAGAAGAAGAAGAAGAAGAAGAAACAAGCAAACCACCAGAAUCAAUACAAAACAACGAGGUCAAUGCAUCUUCCUGACAGCCAUAUCAGGCAAAUCUUCAAACACAUCAACAACAACAUACCUACAAUACAUCA
rnacentral:lncRNA from 1 species